ensembl:snRNA U6 U6 spliceosomal RNA
GUGCUCAAUUUCACAGCAUAUAUACUACAACUCGAUCAAUAAACAGAAUAUUAGCAUAGCCCAUGUGCAAGAAUGGCAGGAAAAUCAAUAAAGCAUUCCAUAUUUUU